ACAACUCCAAUAUAAAGUGUUUUUCCUUAAAAGUUGCCGGAAUGUCACGUCUUUCUUAUAUCAGUAUACUCGUAACAACUUAAAUAUUACGAAACUUAUAUUCGAUCAAAUGAACCUCACUUAGAAAAUAAUCCAUACUUUUUUGUUGAACAAAUUCGACAUUUUUAAUGACCCCAUAAAAAAACGCAUUGCUUGGUGGGCGAAACAACGAAUAACACCUCCUGCUGCAGGGAGACUGUUUUUUGCUGUUGGGCCUCUCUCUUCCUCUCCCUGGCUGUACCCAAUAUGGCGAUACGGCUCUUGUAUACUAGCACGCAGUAAAAUGUAGAGUGCUGCUUCGGCCGCCCAGAGUGGCUCGCUUGUGGGCGUGCUGGAAACAUAUGGCAGCUACUCGAUUUUGCGUCAAGAAUUCAGCAUAGCAAGUUUUUAGGAAGGUCUGGUUAUUAAAUGGGUUAAGAGUUUAAUCCAUUCUUCAUUUCAUUAAUUUAUUCAGAGGUAAGUGGUAAUAUGCUCUAAACCGCUCUGGUGACAAACAAACUUUGCUGCCCUGUUUCCAAUCAUCCACAAUUGCUGGGAGAACCUGUUCAAAGCUGUGAAAGCCUGUCUGCGUAUGAAGAGGUACCAAUGAAGUGCAGUGGUUCUCAGUGCUGGUGACUCAAAGGGGAGCACUUUUUUGUUUUUACCUUAGCACUACACAGCUGAUUCAAUUGGUAUUUAUGUAUUAAUUAGUGAUGAUAUCCUUGAUAUGACCCUGCUAUUGUCACAUGCACAUGCGUCUAUCUAUCCAAUGUUAUAAGGGUAUUAUAUUUUAUUAUAAACUGUGUGGUGCCAGCCCUGAAUGCUGAUUGUCUGACAGCCGUGAUAUAUCAGCCAGUAUACCACAGGUAUGACAAAACAUUUAUUUUUACUGCUCUAAUUACGUUGGUAACCAGUUUAUAAUAGCAAUAAGGCACCUCUGGGGUUUGUGGUAUAUGGGCAAUAUACCACAGCAAAGGGCUGUGUCCAGGCACUCCGCAAUGUGUCCUGCCUAAGCAGUGGUAUAUUGGCCAUAUACCACACACCCCCCGUGCCUUAUUGCUUAAGUAAUCUACAAUGACCUGGUGAUUUAGAAGUCUAAUAAUGACAUCAUCUUACAUAUUCCUACAGAUACUUUGUUACUGGAGAUUCCUUCAAACUGAUUUCCUAGUUACCGUGUAGGGUACUGCAAGGUUGGGUGACCAGGGCCACCUGGGACUGCCUCCUGGGGGAAUUCAUGCGUGUGAAGACUACCUGUGUCCUGCAUAACUUCAUGAGUUUGGACACGAGGACCUGGAGGAGUUCUGCUGCCGUGUGCCAGAGGAGAGGUCUGCUGGAUGGGGACCAACAACACAGCACGGGAGGCAAUCCAUAAGUGGGAGAAAUUCACCUCCUACUUCUUUAAAGAGGGUGCUGGCCCCUGGCAACAGCAUACACUACACUGUAGAUGGCUCUUUUAAGAGCCAUCCACAUUGCAAUAAGAGUAUUCUUCCAUUUACUUAGCUAUGUCAACUGCAGUUAUUACAUUUCCCAGUUUCUCUCCUUUUGAUUUCUACUUCUCAGGUGAGGGUGCUGUUCAAGUAAGGGUGAUGUCUGUACAAAAACAAAACGGGUGCUUUUAAGAGUCACCCAUAUUGAAAACAUUUAGAACAAGUAGACACCCUAUAACCCACACCCUUGUGUAUCAAUCUGAUUGUGUUGUGCAGUAAGCAGGCUCAGGUGUAUAACUGUGGCUCCUUCCACCUUCAAAGAAUGGGCAAGGGGACCAACCAUGGAGAACAGUAAGACACUUCAUUAUUUCUAUUCAUAUAACUACGCUAUAUUGUUUGUCCUCUGAUCUGCAAGUUUUUCAGUAUUAAGUACUUUGCAGCCACUUAGUUUAGACACCAGGUGAGACCACACAAACAGAUUGGUGCAGUUCAGGUAUGAAUCUGAGAUUAUUUUUCAGUCGUAUCCAAUACCAGGAGUAUCCAAUUCCAGUCUUUGAAGGAUGGUGUCUGUCUGCAUUUAUGUAUUACAAUUAUACACUUCAACAGUGUUUACCAAUCCUGGUCCUGGGACAUCAAUGGUUACACAUUGUAACUAAUAAACAGGAUUUAACUA